rnacentral:lncRNA from 1 species
AGGGGACUACCCAGUAACAAAAAAAACUAAGUAAAGAAAGCCAUAAAAAUUUUACUCGGCCUCAUCUCCACUACCAUCUUCUCCGUCAUUGUCAUCAUCGAAAGGAAGCAUGUCUUCAAUCUCAACACCCUCACUGGCCUCUAGUAUUGUGGGUUAUAACCACAGGCAAGACGAGCCUCACAUGACUUGACCUGAGCAUCUUCAAAAGCAGCCUCAGAAAUGCUCCCCGCCAUCCACAAACC